UACGAAGGGGGCUAGCGUUGCUCGGAAUCACUGGGCGUAAAGCGUACGUAGGCGGCUUUUUAAGUCAGGGGUGAAAUCCUGGAGCUCAACUCCAGAACUGCCUUUGAUACUGAGAGGCUUGAGUCCGGGAGAGGUGAGUGGAACUGCGAGUGUAGAGGUGAAAUUCGUAGAUAUUCGCAAGAACACCAGUGGCGAAGGCGGCUCACUGGCCCGGGACUGACGCUGAGGUGCGAAAGCGUGGGGAGCAAACAGG
rnacentral:rRNA from 1 species